rnacentral:rRNA from 1 species
UGGGGGAUAUUGCACAAUGGGCGAAAGCCUGAUGCAGCGACGCCGCGUGGGGGAUGAAGGCUUUCGGGUUGUAAACCUCUUUCGCUAUCGAACAAGGCCCGCUUAGGGUGGGUUGAGGGUAGGUGGAGAAGAAGCGCCGGCUAACUACGUGCCAGCAGCCGCGGCAAUACGUAGGGCGCGAGCGUUGUCCGGAAUUAUUGGGCGUAAAGGGCUUGUAGGCGGCUUGUUGCGUCUGCUGUGAAAACGCGGGGCUUAACUUCGCGCGUGCAGUGGGUACGGGCAGGCUUGAGUGUGGUAGGGGUGACUGGAAUUCCAGGUGUAGCGGUGGAAUGCGCAGAUAUCUGGAGGAACACCGAUGGCGAAGGCAGGUCACUGGGCCAUUACUGACGCUGAGGAGCGAAAGCAUGGGUAGCGAACAGG